rnacentral:rRNA from 1 species
GUGGCCUCUACAUUUUACCGGGCCACCAUCACAUUUGAGCGGUAGGAUAAGUGCAAAGAAAUGUGGCACUGCUUCUGUAGUGUGUUAUAGUCUUUGUCUAUACUGCCAGCUUAGACUGAGGACUGCGGCUUCGGCCUAGGAUGUUGGCAUAAUGAUCUUAAGUCACCCGUCUUGAAACACGGACCAAGGAGUCA